CUAAAAUGGAUUUUACUGAUGCUAGAUAUGGACAGAGUUAAGUAUUGCUGUUACAGCUAUUAUCUGUUCUUUUCUUUGGUGGGUGGGAGUUUGAGCCUAGGCAUUGUAGAGUUCUUAUGCUUCUCUUUUUAAGCAUAAGCUGUUUAACCUGAGUCUUAAAGAGGAACUUUGUGGAGUUAAUUGAUGACAUAUUUAUGGACUCAUGACAAAGGUCAUAGUACAAGUCAAUUUUAUAAAAGAACAUGCCAGUCAGGUGCAAUAGGAAUCCAGCAGAAUACAAGAAGAAAGUCGUUUACAGGCUAUCGAGUGCAGGGAAAGGAGGCGCAUUAAGUGGCAAGGGGUCUGGUAUUUCUCUGUGGCUAGAAAGAAGCAUGGUGUGUUUUUCAAGCCCUGACCGGAGCAUCCAGUGCUGUCUCCAUGACAUGUAUAUCUGAGGCCUGACUAGAAAUACGAUUGGAAUGAAUAUUCACCAUCUGGAUUUCUGACAUAGGACACAUCACCUUUUAAAGAUGUGUCCAUUAAUUCAAAGCUGAAGCAGAAGGAUGACAAAUGCCUGGAGUUCCUCCACUCCUCAUAAAAGCGAUGGACUGUGCGCAGACUCCCUAAAAGGCAUGGGAUGAUCUCACUCUUCAAACAACUCAUUUAGCAUUAGCAAGUUCAUCUGCUGUUAGACAACAUGCAAGACUUUACAAUGUCCAUCCUGCCAGGCUUGUAAAUAUCACUAUAACAGAGUCUCAACAUGUCACACCCAGCAACCUUUGCUACUGAAUGAAACAUUUGUUUCCAGAUUGGGGUCUUUAUCCUUAGAUGGAAGGCAUUUCCCAGUUUGAUUAGUGCACCUGUGGUGAUGGGGAAUAAAGCAAGGCAGCAUUGGCAUCCCUGAUUAUCGUUCACACAUGACUCCUUAAAAUGUGGGUUAUAUAGCUCCAAAAGAAACUGAUGUACUGUACAUCGUGUAUUGUAUGCUCACUUUAGCAUCAUUUUAGUCUAAAAAUUAGACAUCCCACUGCCAAAAACUCAGUUUGACUCUGGCUUCUUAUUCCAUGAUAUCAGGAGGCUAGUUUGUCAGCUAUGACAGCACUCAUUUGACCCCUCAGCGUGCUAAGCCAGCCUUACAGUAGAAGGGCUGGCCCUGGAGGGGUUAGCCAACUGUACUUGGGUCCUGGAACUAUCAGGCACAGCUUCAUGGCUGCCAGCAAACAGGCAGCACAAAGCUGGGAUUGUGAGAAAUUAGGUCUUGUCAGUAGUGGGCUGAGAUGGCAAAACGACAUUGUACCAGUAGCACAAUAGGUGUUCAGUUCGCAGAGCCAGGUCCAGCCUUCAGAGCAGGGCUUUCCAAAACAGUUUAACCUCUGGAUUUUCUGUAACCACUCUGCUCUCAUUUCAAGAGCGAGGCAGGGGAUAAGAACAGCUCAGGAAUACAGUAUCAAAAAGCAUUCCUGCUUACAGAGCCCUCAGAGCCAAAUCUGAAACACAGGAAUAGUUAUGAACUGUACAGUGUAUUUGAUAGCUGGCAAGACCCCUUCCCCAGAUGGAUGGGGGGUGGGGUGGGGAGGAGGGGAAGAGGACUUGUUCUUCCAGACUCGAAAACUCGUUACAGAUCCUGCAGAAUUAAAAUUGCAUCCUGUGAAUCUUGGAUUACAAGCAUACCACCACCCCAAACAGGCUUAAGAUAUAAUAAUAUAAUCUUGGUAAGGUUACUCCGGUACUUCAGAGCCACAUGACCAUGCUAUUUAAGAGAGAUAUAUUUGUAUGAUUCAACAGAGAUACAUGCAUCCUCGCGUUUCAUUGAGGCCUCUGGUUCCGUAACUAGCCUUGUGGGCACAAGCACUCAAAGUGUUAACAGGAAAUACAACCCACACAGCCACAGAUACAUCUCUAUUCAACCUGAUGAAAUCAACCCUUUGAUACGGAUAGUUAGAGCCCUGCUUGCUCCUUGGCCCUGCGGCAGCACCAUUUUGUAUGCCACCUGCCCUUGUGGAAUCUCCUCUUUAGGGACUUCAUCUAAGCUCCUUCCAGAUCCCUAAAAAGCGCUCAUGCUUAUUUUAUUGCAAAUUGAGUGGUGGUGCAGCCAUCCACCAUCUACAGAGCAUUGGAGGAAGCUGGUCAAUUGAGUGCCAUAUUGAGGAGCAGCAAAGAGGAGGUGCAGGAGAACAAGUGGGUGCUGGAGUACCUUAGAGGGUUAAGAUGAAACAAUGGGCAUUCUCCCCACAAAUUCCCCUGAAGGAGACAUGGCAUGGAGGACAGAGGAUGAAGUUCAAUUCUCAGAUUCACGUCUCUACCCUGUAGCACUGGGCUGCCAUUUACGCAGGCUAGAAGAUUGUGCCAAGCUCUUCCCCGGAGAGGGUGCGAAAGGGCUUGAGGGUACCCCAGAGGAAGGAAAUCCCAAGUGCACCUUCCUGGGUUCUCAAAGGGGUUUUUGCACUUGGUUGGUGGCAGCGUCUACCCAUCCAAGGUCAGAGAAAAGCUGUAAUCUUGGAAGUUUAAUACAAGCCUGGAGUGGCCAGUAUUAAUUUUUAGAAUCCUUGUGGGCUCAGAGUGCCAGAGUAUGGAAUCAGCCUUGACACCAUGCAAGAAUUCAAGAAAUCAAGUGGCCACUUCUUUGCUCUCAUCCCAAAGUGUAGAAGUAGUUCAAAUAGAUACACCAUUGCAUCCAGCACCCUUUCCACACUUCAGGAUUUUCAUGGCUACUGCUAGCUCCGCAGUGUUGACCUGCACAUUGAGGAAUCUACAAUCUCUCAAGUGACAGCAGAGUUCCUGCUUAGCCUGUUUUGUUUUGCACUUUGCUUUGUGGGCUGGUUUACCAUUUAGGAUGAGUUGGUGUGCAACUUGGUUGGGAGAGACUGUGACGAUAGGCUUUGGUUGAUGUCCAUUAGGGUUAAGCUUGCAAAUGGUGACCCAUGCUUUUUGCUAUUACGGCACAUGCUUGUUGUUUCAAUCAGCUCCCCCAGAGGUUGUGCCACUCCUUAUUUCCCUGAACCUGAUGGUUUCUUCACUGAAGGGAUCCAAGUCAAACAGUUCUGAAUCUCUCUUAUAUUGUUGGCUGGUUUGUUCUGAAAGUCCAGGCACAUCUAGUGUCUGACAUCUCCUGGAGAUGGGCUUUUGGGCAAUCUUCAACACUAGGGAGACAAGUUUGCCAGAGUGCUUGUGGGUUGGAGUAUUAUUACCGACAGAUCAGCCUUUUGGAAGUUGAAUCUCAUCAGGUGCCUUGUUUUCCUGGAUUAUACUGCAGCCUCUAUUGUCACUUACACUAGUCUGUGCUGCCAUCUUGGGAACACCUCCCUUCUGAAGCUCCCUAUAUUUUCAGAGGUGACAAAAGCUAUGUCGGAAUGAGGGGUGCAAUCCCUACAUGAGCUUUGAAAGGUACAUUUAUCCUUGAAAUUGUACAACAAGGUCUAGUUUGUUGCCUCCCACUUCAUAACUUCUUCCCCAUUGUAGUAGUAUCCUCAGAUGGUUGUGUGACUGGGGAAGUCGCCUAUGACAAGGCACGAUUUUUCUGACAGAGGAACGUCAGUUGGCCAUGCAAAUUGUUCACUAAGUGGUUUGCAGACAAACUACUGCUAUUUGGUCAAGCUCAACCACAAGAGUUCCACUGUAGAUUGAUGUUUCACAGCAGUAUUUUUCAUCUAUCUUUUGUCACAUACAAGUAUUGUGCUACUAUAGGUGUUGCUUUUGAUGUUCACUGCUUUAUGCAUACCAGGGAUGUUUGGUUGUCUCUGUCUUGCAGGCACAGGAGGUCUGCUUUCUUGCCAGAUAUGUCAGCUUUCUCUGCAGAGAAUCCCUCCACACUGGAGUUACUCAAUAGACUCAGACUUUAAGGCCAGAAAGAACAAUCAUGAUCAUCUAGUCUGACCUCCUGAAACAUUGCAGCCCACAGAACCUCACCAGUCCCCUUCACUAAUAGGCCCAUAACCUCUGGCUGAGUUACUGAAGUCCUCAAAUCAUGAUGUAAAGAUUUCAAGUUACAGAGAAUCCAUCAUUUACACCAGUUGAAACCCGCAAGUGACCUGUACCCCAUGCUGCAGGGGAAGGUGCAAAAACCAAAACCAAAACACAGGUCUCUGACAACCUGAUUCAGGGAAAAUUCCUUCCCGACUCCAAAUACAGCGAUCAGUGAGACACUGAGCAGGUGGACAAGACCCAGCAGCCAUAUAUCAGGGAAAGAAUUCUCUGUAGUAACUCAGAGCUUUCGCACCUAGUGUUCCAUCAGUGGCCACUAGAGAUAUUUGCUACUAGCAGUCGCAGAUCAACUACAUGCCAUCACAGGCAGUCUCAUCAUAUCAUCUCCUCCAUAAAUGUAUCAAGCUCGGCCUUGAAGCCAGUUAAGUUUUUCAGCCCUAGUACUCCCCUUGGAAGGCUGUUCCAGAAUUUCACUCCUCUGAGGGUUAGAAACUUUCAUCUAAUUUCAGGCCUCAACUUGCUGAUGGCCAGUUUAUAUCCAUUUGUUCUUGCGUCAACACUGGUGCCUAACUUAAGUAACUCUUCCCCCUCCCCAGUAUUUAUCCUUUGACAACUGCAAUUGGGGUCAUAUUUUGAAAAUUGUUUGCAACAAUAACAGCUUUUUUUUGUUUUAAAACUGAAGUAGAGACUCAGAGAAACUGAGAAGCCAACCCACCCAUAUCUCCACCUGAGCCAGUCCUUCAGGGAAAUGGCCUACUUAGGUAAAUGCUGCUUUAGAGAAUGUGCAAGAAUUGCCAAGUGGAUGCCAGCUGAGACUUGAUUUAUUGCCACCACUCAAAGCUCAGAAACUUUUCUCACCAGGGACAUCAUUACUCAAGAGAAGUCAUUAGUUAGCCUUUCAUUUCCAAUUGCUGCACGAAAUCAAAAGUAGGUCUUAACCUAAUAAAAGUUGAAGAGGUCAUGCAAUUCUCCUGCAUAAUACGAGAAGAAGCACAAUGACUUGCACUGAGUGCACACAACUCUCCUGUGUAUUAGGUUGAAAAUUCUUCUAUUCCAUCCUCUUCAUAUGUACAAAAAAAAAAAAAACCCUAAGAGGGCCACUAUGCAAUGCAAUUAAACAAUGGACAGGAGUUCGUCCUCUUCCAGAGUCAUCACAUUAAACAGAGCUACCAGCAGCUGCUGAACUUUGCAGCCAGAUAAGUUUUAUAGGCAAGAGCUCUGUUCAGAUUUCCAAAACUGAAUGCAGUCCUUUUGCUGAAUCUCUCAUGUUUUAUAUUUUAAUUGUUUUAUUUGUCUGUGUUAUUUGAGCUGGAAGAGACUCAUUAUCAUUCAUUUCCACCUGGAUUUGCUCUCUUCUUCCCCCUCCCCCAGAUUAAUUGGUUUAAUUAGCAAAGCAUCUCAUUCGACUGGCAAAGGGUCUUGUUCCAAAACAAUGGUGACAAAAAUAACCAUUGUUUUACUCGAAUUAAAGAUGAACUGCAAAAAAAGUUGCAGCAGCAGCAGCAUGGUGUGAAAGCCCCCCACCCCGCACUAAUCAAUCUUCGAGGAGCAUACAGCACGCACACAAGCGCUAACCCGAAUACACACAUCAUUUUAAAUUCUCUAGAGUCACCCUAGCUAGCGUCUACUCAGCUACAA